rfam:Stereum hirsutum FP-91666 SS1 unplaced genomic scaffold STEHIscaffold_12, whole genome shotgun sequence.
UGCCCCAUGGCUAAGUUGGUCAAAGCGUCCGACUGUUAUUACACAAUGUGUUGCCACAUCGGAAGGUCUCCAGUUCGAGCCUGGAUGGGGCAG